AGUGAACGCUGGCGGUAGGCCUAACACAUGCAAGUCGAACGGCAGCACAGAGGAGCUUGUUCCUUGGGUGGCGAGUGGCGGACGGGUGAGGAAUACAUCGGAAUCUACUCUGUCGUGGGGGAUAACGUAGGGAAACUUACGCUAAUACCGCAUACGACCUACGGGUGAAAGCAGGGGAUCUUCGGACCUUGCGCGAUUGAAUGAGCCGAUGUCGGAUUAGCUAGUUGGCGGGGUAAAGGCCCACCAAGGCGACGAUCCGUAGCUGGUCUGAGAGGAUGAUCAGCCACACUGGAACUGAGACACGGUCCAGACUCCUACGGGAGGCAGCAGUGGGGAAUAUUGGACAAUGGGCGCAAGCCUGACCCAGUCAUACCGCGUGGGUGAAGAAGGCCUUCGGGUUGUAAAGCCCUUUUGUUGGGAAAGAAAUCCAGCUGGCUAAUACCCGGUUGGGAUGACGGUUCCCAAAGAAUAAGCACCGGCUAACUUCGUGCCAGCCGCCGCCGUAA
rnacentral:rRNA from 1 species